AGAAUCAACGCUGGCGGCGUGCCUAACACAUGCAAGUCGAACGAGAAAGUGGAGCAAUCCAUGAGUAAAGUGGCGCACGGGUGAGUAACACGUGACUAACCUACCCUUGAGUGGGGGAUAACCUAGAGAAAUCUGGGCUAAUACCGCAUAAUACCUUCGGGUCAAAGGAGCAAUUCGCUUAAGGAGGGGGUCGCGGCCGAUUAGUUAGUUGGCGGGGUAAUGGCCCACCAAGACUAUGAUCGGUA
rnacentral:rRNA from 1 species